rnacentral:rRNA from 1 species
GAUGAACGCUGGCGGCGUGCCUAAUACAUGCAAGUCGAGCGAAUGGAUUAAGAGCUUGCUCUUAUGAAGUUAGCGGCGGACGGGUGAGUAACACGUGGGUAACCUGCCCAUAAGACUGGGAUAACUCCGGGAAACCGGGGCUAAUACCGGAUAACAUUUUGAACCGCAUGGUUCGAAAUUGAAAGGCGGCUUCGGCUGUCACUUAUGGAUGGACCCGCGUGGCAUUAGCUAGCUGGUGAGGUAACGGCUCACAAAGGCAACGAUGCGUAGCCGACCUGAGAGGGUGAUCGGCCACACUGGGACUGAGAAACGGCCCAGACUCCUACGGGAGGCAGCAGUAGGGAAUCUUCCGCAAUGGACGAAAGUCUGACGGAGCAACGCCGCGUGAGUGAUGAAGGCUUUCGGGUCGUAAAACUCUGUUGUUAGGGAAGAACAAGUGCUAGUUGAAUAAGCUGGCACCUUGACGGUACCUAACCAGAAAGCCACGGCUAACUACGUGCCAGCCGCCGCGGUAA